CCAUCACCGCCCAACCAUGACCAUCUCUGGCCAACGGUGACCAUCUCUGGCCAACGGUGACUAUCACCGCCCAACCAUGACCAUCACUGCCCAACCGUGACCAUCACUGGCCAAAAGUGUCCAUCACUGGCCAACAGUGACCAUCACUGGCCUGGCCAACAGUGACCAUCUCUGGCCAACGGUGACCAUCACUGGCCAAAGGUGUCCAUCACUGGCCAACGGUGACCAUCACUGCCCAAAGGUGUCCAUCACUAACCAACGGUGACCAUCACUGGCCUGGCCAUCAGUGACCAUCUCUGGCCAACGGUGACCAUCACUGGCCAAAGGUGUCCAUCACUGGCCAACGGUGACCAUCACUGCCCAAAGGUGUCCAUCACUGCCCAACGGUGACCUUCACUGCCCAAUGGUGACCAUCACUGGCCAACGGAGACCAUCACUGCCCAACCAUGACCAUCACUGACCUACGGUGACCAUCACUUGCCAACCAUGACCAUCACUGCCCAACCGUGACCAUCACUGGCCAAAAGUGUCCAUCACCGCCCAACCAUGACUAUCUCUGGCCAACGGUGACCAUCUCUGGCCAACGGUGACCAUCACUGGCCAACAGUGACCAUCUCUGGCCAACAGUGUCCAUCACUGGCCAAAGAAAGGUGUCCAUCACUGGCCAACGGUGACCAUCACUGCCCAAUCGUGACCAUCACUGGCCAGCGGUGACCAUCACUGGCCAACAGUGACCAUCACCGCCCAACUGUGACCAUCACUGUCCAAAGGUGACCAUCUCUGGCCAAGGUUGACCAUCUCUGGCCAACGGUGACAAUCUCUGGCCAACGGUGACCAUCACUGGCCAACGGUGACCAUCUCUGGCCAACAGUGUCCAUCACUGGCCAAAGAAAGGUGUCCAUCACUGGCCAACGGAGACCAUCUUUGCCCAACGGUGACCAUCACUGCACAACCAUGACCAUCACUGCCCAACGGUGUCCAUUACUGACCAACGGUGACCAUCACUGGCCAACGGUGACCACCACUGGCCAACGGUGUCCAUUACUGGCCAACGGUGUCCAUCACUGCCCAAAGGUGUCCAUCACUGGCCAACGGUGUCCAUUACUGACCAACGGUGACCAUCACUGGCCAACGGUGACCAUCACUGCCCAAAGGUGUCUAUCACUGCCCAAAGGUGUCCAUCACUGGCCAACGGUGACCAUCACUGCCCAAAGGUGUCCAUCACUGCCCAAAGGUGUCCAUCACUGCCCAACGGUGAUCAUCACUGCCCAACGGUGUCCAUCACUGGACAACAGUGACCAUCACUGGCCUGGCCAACGGUGACCAUCUCUGGCCAACGGUGACCAUCACUGGCCAAAGGUGUCCAUCACUGGCCAACGGUGACCAUCACUGGCCAAAGGUGUCCAUCACUGGCCAACGGUGACCAUCACUGCCCAAAGGUGUCCAUCACUAACCAACGGUGACCAUCACUGGCCUGGCCAUCAGUGACCAUCUCUGGCCAACGGUGACCAUCACUGGCCAAAGGUGUCCAUCACUGGCCAACGGUGACCAUCACUGCCCAAAGGUGUCCAUCACUGCCCAACGGUGACCUUCACUGCCCAAUGGUGACCAUCACUGGCCAACGGUGACCAUCACUUGCCAACCAUGACCAUCACUGCCCAACCGUGACCAUCACUGGCCAAAAGUGUCCAUCACUGGCCAGCGGGACCAUCACUGGCCAACAGUGACCAUCACCGCCCAACCAUGACCAUCUCUGGCCAACGGUGACCAUCUCUGGCCAACGGUGACCAUCACUGGCCAACAGUGACCAUCUCUGGCCAACAGUGUCCAUCACUGGCCAAAGAAAGGUGUCCAUCACUGGCCAACGGUGACCAUCACCGCCCAACUGUGACCAUCACUGCCCAAUCGUGACCAUCAC